CGGCAAUGGAGGAAACUCUGACCGAGCAACGCCGCGUGAACGAUGAAGUAUUUCGGUAUGUAAAGUUCUUUUAUUAGGGAAGAAUAAAUGAUGGAAAAAUCAUUCUGACUGUACCUAAUGAAUAAGCCCCGGCUAACUAUGUGCCAGCAGCCGCGGUAAUACAUAGGGGGCAAGCGUUAUCCGGAAUUAUUGGGCGUAAAGGGUGCGUAGGCGGUUAAAUAAGUUUAUGGUCUAAGUUCAAUGCUCAACAUUGUGAUGCUAUAAAAACUGUUUAGCUAGAGUAAGAUAGAGGCAAGUGGAAUUCCAUGUGUAGUGGUAAAAUGCGUAAAUAUAUGGAGGAACACCAGUAGCGAAGGCGGCUUGCUGGGUCUUUACUGACGCUGAGGCACGAAAGCGUGGGGAGCAAACAGGAUUAGAUACCCUGGUAGUCCACGCCGUAAACGAUGAGUACUAAACGUUGGGUAAAACCAGUGUUGAAGUUAACACAUUAAGUACUCCGCCUGAGUAGUACGUACGCAAGUAUGAAACUUAAAGGAAUUGACGGGACUCCGCACAAGCGGUGGAUCAUGUUGUUUAAUUUGAAGGUACCCGAAAAACCUCACCAGGUCUUGACAUGCUUCUGCAAAGUUGUAGAAAUACAGUGGAGGUUAUCAGUUGCACAGGUGGUGCAUGGUUGUCGUCAGCUCGUGUCGUGAGAUGUUGGGUUAAGUCCCGCAACGAGCGCAACCCUUAUUGUUAGUUACCAGCACGUAAUGGUGGGGACUUUAGCAAGACUGCCCGUGAUAAAUUGGAGGAAGGUGGGGACGACGUCAAAUCAUCAUGCCCCUUAUGACCUGGGCUACAAACGUGAUACAAUGGCUGUUACAAAGGGUAGCUGAA
rnacentral:rRNA from 1 species